rnacentral:rRNA from 1 species
GCUCCUAGUACGAGAGGACCGGAGUGGACGAACCUCUGGUGUUCGGGUUGUGUCGCCAGACGCAUUGCCCGGUAGCUAAGUUCGGAAUCGAUAACCGCUGAAAGCAUCUAAGCGGGAAGCGAGCCUCAAGAUGAGUCAUCCCUGAACCUAUAAGGUUCCUGAAGGGUUGUUGGAGACUACGACGUAGAUAGGCAGGGUGUGUAAGCGUUGUGAGGCGUUGAGCUAACCUGUACUAAUUGCCCGUGAGGCUUAACCAUACAACACCCAAGGGGUUUUAG